rnacentral:rRNA from 1 species
UGCGUAGGCGGCUUGGUAAGUCAGAUGUGAAAGCUCAGGGCUCAACCCUGAAAUUGCAUCCGAUACUGCCAGGCUAGAGGACUGGAGAGGUGUCUAGAAUUCUCGGUGUAGCAGUGAAAUGCGUAGAUAUCGAGAGGAAUACCAAUGGCGAAGGCAGGACACGUGGACAGUAUCUGACGCUGAGGCACGAGGCUAGGGUAGCGAACG